AUUGAACGCUGGCGGCAGGCCUAACACAUGCAAGUCGAGCGGUAGAGAGAAGCUUGCUUCUCUUGAGAGCGGCGGACGGGUGAGUAAUGCCUAGGAAUCUGCCUGGUAGUGGGGGAUAACGUUCGGAAACGGACGCUAAUACCGCAUACGUCCUACGGGAGAAAGCAGGGGACCUUCGGGCCUUGCGCUAUCAGAUGAGCCUAGGUGGGAUUAGCUAGUUGGUGGGGUAAUGGCUCACCAAGGCGACGAUCCGUAACUGGUCUGAGAGGAUGAUCAGUCACACGGGAACUGAGACACGGUCCAGACUCCUACGGGAGGCAGCAGUGGGGAAUGUUGGACAAUGGGCGAAAGCCUGAUCCAGCCAUGCCGCGUGUGUGAAGAAGGUCUUCGGAUUGUAAAGCACUUUAAGUUGGGAGGAAGGGCAGUAAAUUAAUACUAUGCUGUUUUGACGUUACCGACAGAAUAAGCACCGGCUAACUCUGUG
rnacentral:rRNA from 1 species